UACGGAGGGGGCUAGCGUUGUUCGGAAUUACUGAGCGUAAAGCGCGCGUAGGCGGACCUGCAAGUCGGGGGUGAAAGCCCGAGGCUCAACCUCGGAACUGCCUUCGAUACUGCGGGUCUCGAGUCCGGGAGAGGUGAGUGGAAUUCCUAGUGUAGAGGUGAAAUUCGUAGAUAUUAGGAAGAACACCAGUGGCGAAGGCGGCUCACUGGCCCGGUACUGACGCUGAGGUGCGAAAGCGUGGGGAGCAAACAGG
rnacentral:rRNA from 1 species